rnacentral:misc_RNA from 1 species
UACAGUUGCCUGGGAUAAGAUUAGAAGCAAAAAUUGGAUUAAAGAGCUUCAUUUAAAGUACCAAAACAUACCCAAGUACUUACUCAUCUAUCAAUAAGAAAGAUUGCAGUUCAGUUCAAGAUGUUUAUUGAGAGAUUGAAAGAUUGAGAAAUUAUUUUUAGAGUAGCAAGAUACUACAAGAUAAAUGACAAUUGAAAGUAUUAAUAAAUAUGACUACGUGCGUUUGCAUCUCCAUCAACAAUCAUCUUUCUAAGCUGGCAAGACAAUCAGACCAGAGAAGGUCCAUGAAUCAAUCCUUGUCGAGACAAUGCAAAAGCACUUACUGUCGAUUUACGAAAAUCGAAACGUCCAAGUCAAAAGCGUCCACUAGAUACUGUAGCGAAGAUCUCAAGUUCUCCGAAUCACAUCUAUCAUAGAUCUACAUCUAUCACCACCUACUCAAAACCAGUAAAAAAUCGAAAACUUCUACAUUAUAUGAAAAUAAAAAUUCAAGCUUAACGUGUACAUAAAAUUGAAAAUGUCUCUAUUAAAAAGCGCACGAUCUUCUUUUAGCCUCGAGAAUUAGAAGAAAAUCUUCGAUAGAGGAUCGCGAGCGGAGAAUCACUCGAUAUCUAAGGUUUGAAAUCGAGGAAGGAACACCCGAAGUAGUGACUUGGAGGAUCGUCGAUCGACUAAUGCUGCUUCACCUUUCUAGAGAAUAGCUUUCAAAGAUCGUUCCAAGGACGACAAUCUUCGUAAGGUCGCUGGUAGAUAAGAAACAAAGACCGAAUCGUUUUGAAGGCUCCGCAUCCACUGCCCUUCUCCCUGACGCGUUGAAAUCACGAAGGAGAUCGAGAAAUAAAAGCGGAGAUGAGACGCCAGAAAACGAGGGCGAUGAACGAACUUGCGAAUCCCUGUUACGAGUCAUUAGAGACUCGAUACUUGAAUGAUGUUAAAUGGCUUUUAAGUAACCUUCGGAGAUUGACGUGAAUGUAAAUUAUCGUUUUCUGUGCCUACGUUCUUUAUUUGUCUAUGCAAAGAAGAAUAAUAAGACUUUUAGAUACUUUGUAUGCUGUUGUUUGCAGAAAUUAAUUAGGCAGAUAGGCCAUAGACGAUCGAAUUAAAUACGUAACGAACUUUUCGAACGACUUAAUAACUGGAUUGAAGUCAGUGAUUUUCAUUCAAUUUUAUUCUAUUUUAUUAUUGAUUUUAAAAAUUAUUCAUCCUAUCUUGUCAAUUAUAUCGGUAUGGGACCAUUUUUUGCACUAUAUAUAAUAUAUGAUUAAAACGGAUAUUUAUGUUGUAUCAUUCUAACUGCUAA